UCCUGGCUCAGAAUCAACGCUGGCGGCGUGCCUAACACAUGCAAGUCGAACGAGAAAGCGGGGGCAACCCUGCGAGUACAGUGGCAGACGGGUGAGUAACACGUGAACAACCUACCCUUGAGUGGGGAAUAACACCGCGAAAGCGGUGCUAAUACCGCAUAACAUCCUUGGGUUGCAUGAUCUGGGGAUCAAAAGCGAGAGUUGCUUGAGGAGGGGUUCGCGGCUGAUUAGCUAGUUGGUGAGGUAACGGCCCACCAAGGCGACGAUCAGUAGCCGGCCUGAGAGGGCGAACGGCCACACUGGAACUGAGACACGGUCCAGACUCCUACGGGAGGCAGCAGUGGGGAAUUUUGCGCAAUGGGCGAAAGCCUGACGCAGCAAACGCCGCGUGGAGGAUGAAGGCCUUCGGGUCGUAAACUCCUGUCAGUGGGGACGAAGGCCCCGGAAGGGGAUUGACUGUACCUGCUGAGGAAGCCACGGCUAACUCCGUGCCAGCCGCCGC
rnacentral:rRNA from 1 species